rnacentral:rRNA from 1 species
UACGAAGGGGGCUAGCGUUGUUCGGAAUUACUGGGCGUAAAGGGCGCGUAGGCGGUUUUGUCAGUCAGGCGUGAAAGGCCCGGGCUCAACCUGGGGACUGCGCUUGAUACUGCGAGGCUUGAAUCCGGGAGAGGAUGGCGGAAUUCCCAGUGUAGAGGUGAAAUUCGUAGAUAUUGGGAAGAACACCGGUGGCGAAGGCGGCUCACUGGCUCGUUUCUGACGCUGUAGCGCGAAAGCGUGGGGAUCAAACAGG